rnacentral:rRNA from 1 species
UACCAGCACCCCGAGUGGUCGGACGAUUAUUGGGCCUAAAGCAUCCGUAGCCGGCCUUACAAGUCCUCCGUUAAAUCCAGCUGCUUAACAGAUGGCUGCGGAGGAUACUAUAAGACUAGGAGGCAGGAGAGGCAAGCGGUACUCAGUGGGUAGGGGUAAAAUCCGUUGAUCCAUUGAAGACCACCAGUGGCGAAGGCGGCUUGCCCAGAAUGCGCUCGACCGGUGAGGGAUGAAAGCUGGGGAGCAACCG